UUCAUGUGUAUUAUUAAUAAACUCCGGAGCCUUUCUCUUACAAGCUACUUCUCCCCUGCACAGUUACAUAGCAGAGACAGGUCACUGGUCAUAGUUUUACUUCCUCCUGCUUCAGCACCUGUUAGCGACAGCAGUCAGAGGCAGCAGAGCAUUUCAGCAAGAAGGAACCGGCUGCUGCUCUGUGCUCUGAUUGGCUGAGAAGAGCCUUGGUUUGUGGUAUCAUUAAUUUUGGAGUCACUGUAGACAGCAAGCUUAAGCGUUGUUCAAAUAAGGUCACCUGGAGCAUGGACGGUGCACCGAGCGCCACAAAGCUGCAUGGUCUUGCAGCAUCAGCCCCCACGAGGCUGAAUGAGGGUGCACACGCACCAGAAAGGGCUCCAGACUUUAGUGUCACAAGAAACUCUUCAGUGAGGUGAUAUUAACAAGGUGUCUCAGGUCUGGACCCUCCAGGUGAAGAGUAGCAGAACCACCCAGGGCUCCAGUUAUAUUUAUCACAUCAUUGUGCACUGGUAAAAGGGGUGCUGGACAGUGUUCCAUCUAAUUUUUCCCACCCAUGUGUGGAAUUAAUUUUGUUAUGUGCACCAAUAUAGAGGUGAUUGUGACACAUCACCUCCAUAUUGGUGCACAUAACAAAAUGCAUGUGGUAGGGCCGAUGGGUUCUUGUGGGAAGGGGCUCAGGGCUGGGGCAGAAGGUUGGGGUGCAGGGUUGUGAAGGCUCCAGUCUGGGGUGGGGCUGGGGAUGAGGGGUUUGAGCUGCAGGAGGGUGCUCUGGGGCUACUGCAGGGAGAGAGGACUCCCCCCAGCGUUCUUUCCCCACAGCAGUACCUGGGCUGGUGGGGAGAGGUGCCUGUCCUCGCCACAGGAGCUCUGGGUCUGGGGCUGCAGGAUAGACACCUCUCUCCCGGCCCUAGCAGGUCCAGGCCGUGGGAGGGCCACCCGGGCCACGCCUGGGGUCAGGCCAUUGCUGGGGCUGGCCUGGGCCCAAUCCAGCCGUGGCUGGGUCCAGGCCGCCCCCAGCCAUGCCUGGGGCCAUGUCUAGGCCCAUCUCUUCCACUGACUUGAGGUAUGAUUUUUGUUCUUCGGUUUUUCCAUAUGUAAAGUGAUUGAGGAUAUAUCUACCUACUUCUCAAGGUUUGAGAGGCUUAAUUAAAUGUUGUUUUUAAAGGAUUUUGAUAGACUUAGAUGAAAGUAGCUAUAAUAAGAACAGAAUGCAACUAUUUGCCUCUUUUAAAGAAGUAGUUGGGGAAUUCCCAAACUGCUAAUUAAAUUGUUUGCUUUUACUUUUUGUAAACAUACAGAAAAUACAAACUCUUUAUUAAUACUUUAAGUCUAUUCAGUUUAUUAUCACCAUCUACAUAAAACUGAGUGCAUACCUCUUUCCAACAUUAAAACUAUACUAUUGGUAUUAUAAUAAAUAGAUCACACUUCUUGUUAAUAGUCUUGUAUUCCACAUAAAUCUUCUUUGACAAUUUUUCAAAUAUCCCAAAACCAUGUUAUGGUAAGGGCAUUUCGCCCCCCAAAGAGCAACUUCGCUAUGCAAACAGGCUCAGUACUUCUAGAAAUGCAAUGCUGUGCACCCACCUCACCAUGUCUCACUAUGGGACCAAACCUACAUCAACUGAACUCCAUGGCAAAUUAAUGUCAGUAAGAGCAGGAUCAGAUGUUUAAUCUGUGUUUACUUUAAACAGAUUUCACUGUAAAAGUUUUACUGAAAAUUAUAAACAUAAAAAGGUCUUACCAUGAAGAAUAAUAAGCGCACACAACAUAGACUGGAAAGUAAAACUAGAUAGCAUUUUAGAACAAUUUAGUCUCUGAUAUUUGUUCUAGAGCUUUUUCAGGAAUCCACUACAUCACAAUAGUUUUAGUCACCACAGACUGGUGUUCUUGAAGAUCGUGAAUCUUCAGAAAUGCUUAGAGGCUCUGUAAUAGAGUCUACAAACCCAAUACUGUGUUUAGGCUGUACAACGUUAUUCAUGUAUUUAUGUUUUAAUAUGCAUGCUCUGAUUUAUGUCUAUGUGGUAUCUUGUAUUAUUUACCUGGGAAAUGGUAAUGUCAAAAAUCUGUUAAAAUCGCCAUUGUGAAUGGUGUCUAGCAGUUGUUGGGCAGCCAUGUUGGUUACCCUUCUCUUUGGAACUUUACCCGCCUUUUGUUUGAGUCUGGCACUCUUUUGUGUACAGGUGGGAAAAGGACUGGUCAGGUGGUCCCUGAUCUUCUUAGAGACUAGAGGAUAUAAAAGCCCUGCACACAGGCUCUAGGGUGCUGUCCUCCCUUGUGGCAGCCCGCGCUCAAGUUAUUGGAUCAAGAAUCACUGGAAGAUCUCUGAGAGAAAUCACCACAGCAACUUACCUGAGAAGUAAUCCUGAUCCUGAUCCUAAUCCUGGUUCAGCAGUCAUCAAAGGUCUGAGUCCCUCUUGCACUGCCUGUCAUCCCCAAGCCCAGUGGUAGGUCCAGAUCCAACAUCUCCAGGCUGAGGCAGACAAUCAGACAAUCUUUGAUCUGUAAAGUAUAAAUACCUUUACCUGUCAUUUGUAGAGGGAGAGGGUUCUGGGCUUCAUGCCCAUGCAAGCCACUGAGAUAUUUUGUCCAUAUACUUACCUUAUGUUAAAUAAAGCACCUUUUUAGUUUA